CCUACGGGAGGCUGCAGUGAGGAAUAUUGGUCAAUGGACGAGAGUCUGAACCAGCCAAGUAGCGUGAAGGAUGACUGCCCUAUGGGUUGUAAACUUCUUUUAUAUGGGAAUAAAACGUUCCACGUGUGGGAUUUUGUAUGUACCAUAUGAAUAAGGAUCGGCUAACUCCGUGCCAGCAGCCGCGGUAAUACGGAGGAUCCGAGCGUUAUCCGGAUUUAUUGGGUUUAAAGGGAGCGUAGGUGGAUUGUUAAGUCAGUUGUGAAAGUUUGCGGCUCAACCGUAAAAUUGCAGUUGAAACUGGCAGUCUUGAGUACAGUAGAGGUGGGCGGAAUUCGUGGUGUAGCGGUGAAAUGCUUAGAUAUCACGAAGAACUCCGAUUGCGAAGGCAGUUCACUGGACCGCAACUGACACUGAGGCUCGAAAGUGUGGGUAUCAAACAGGAUUAGAUACCCCAGUAGUC
rnacentral:rRNA from 1 species